rnacentral:rRNA from 1 species
AUUGAACGCUAGCGGGAUGCUUUACACAUGCACGUCGAACGAGUGGAGGCGGGGUGGGUAAUAUAUCGGAACGUGCCCAGGAGCGGGGGAUGCAUACUCCAAAGAGUGGCUAAUAACGCAUUCUAUUGGCGCGGCCGAUACCGGAUUAGCUAGGUGGUGGGGUAAAGGCCCACAAAGGCAACGAUCCGUAGGUGGUUUGAGAGGACGACCGGCCACACUGGGACUUAGACACGGCCCAGACUCCUACGGGAGGCAGCAGUGGGGAAUUUUGGACAAUGGGGGAAACCCUGAUCCAGCCAUCCCGCGUGUAUGAGAAGGCCUUCGGGUUGUAAAGUACUUUUGGCAGAGAAGCGGUAUCUGCAGAAUAAGCACCGGCUAACUACGUGCCAGCAGCCGCGGUAAUAC